rnacentral:rRNA from 3 species
CAGCGACUUAUAUUCUGUAGCAAGGUUAACCGUAUAGGGGAGCCGAAGGGAAACCGAGUCUUAACUGGGCGUUAAGUUGCAGGGUAUAGACCCGAAACCCGGUGAUCUAGCCAUGGGCAGGUUGAAGGUUGGGUAACACUAACUGGAGGACCGAACCGACUAAUGUUGAAAAAUUAGCGGAUGACUUGUGGCUGGGGGUGAAAGGCCAAUCAAACCGGGAGAUAGCUGGUUCUCCCCGAAAGCUAUUUAGGUAGCGCCUCGUGAACUCAUCUUCGGGGGUAGAGCACUGUUUCGGCUAGGGGGUCAUCCCGACUUACCAACCCGAUGCAAACUGCGAAUACCGAAGAAUGUUAUCACGGGAGACACACGGCGGGUGCUAACGUCCGUCGUGAAGAGGGAAACAACCCAGACCGCCAGCUAAGGUCCCAAAGUCACAGUUAAGUGGGAAACGAUGUGGGAAGGCUCAGACAGCCAGGAUGUUGGCUUAGAAGCAGCCAUCAUUUAAAGAAAGCGUAAUAGCUCACUGGUCGAGUCGGCCUGCGCGGAAGAUGUAACGGGGCUAAACUGUGCACCGAAGCUGCGGCAGCGACGCUUAUGCGUUGUUGGGUAGGGGAGCGUUCUGUAAGCCUGCGAAGGUGUCCUGUGAGGGAUGCUGGAGGUAUCAGAAGUGCGAAUGCUGACAUAAGUAACGAUAA